GGAGGGGUGGCCGAGUGGCUGAAGGCACCGGUCUUGAAAACCGGCGACGGGAAACCGUUCCAGAGUUCGAAUCUCUGCCUCUCCACCA
rnacentral:tRNA from 5 species